rnacentral:rRNA from 1 species
UACGGAGGGUGCAAGCGUUACUCGGAAUUACUGGGCGUAAAGGGUGCGUAGGCGGUUGUUUAAGUCUGUUGUGAAAUCCCCGGGCUCAACCUGGGAAUGGCAAUGGAUACUGGGCAGCUAGAGUGUGUCAGAGGAUGGUGGAAUUCCCGGUGUAGCGGUGAAAUGCGUAGAGAUCGGGAGGAACAUCAGUGGCGAAGGCGGCCAUCUGGGACAACACUGACGCUGAAGCACGAAAGCGUGGGGAGCAAACAGG